GAUGAACGCUGGCGGCGUGCCUAAUACAUGCAAGUCGAGCGAACAGACGAGGAGCUUGCUCCUCUGACGUUAGCGGCGGACGGGUGAGUAACACGUGGAUCACCUACCUAUAAGACUGGGAUAACUUCGGGAAACCGGAGCUAAUACCGGAUAAUAUAUUGAACCGCAUGGUUCAAUAGUGAAAGACGGCUUUGCUGUCACUUAUAGAUGGAUCCGCGCCGCAUUAUCUAGUUGGUAAGGUAACGGCUUACCAAGGCGACGAUGCGUAGCCGACCUGAGAGGGUGAUCGGCCACACUGGAACUGAGACACGGUCCAGACUCCUACGGGAGGCAGCAGUAGGGAAUCUUCCGCAAUGGGCGAAAGCCUGACGGAGCAACGCCGCGUGAGUGAUGAAGGUCUUCGGAUCGUAAAACUCUGUUGUUAGGGAAGAACAAAUGUGUAAGUAACUAUGCACGUCUUGACGGUACCUAAUCAGAAAGCCACGGCUAACUACGUG
rnacentral:rRNA from 1 species